rfam:Heligmosomoides polygyrus genome assembly, scaffold: HPBE_scaffold0004092
AGCGCGAUGGCCGAGUGGUUAAAGAGUUGGACCUAACUUCUAAUGGACGCACGUCUUCGUGGGUUCGAACCCCAAUCGCGCUA